UACGAGGGGUGCAAGCGUUGCUCGGAAUUAUUGGGCGUAAAGGGUAGGUAGGUGGUCUCAUUUGUCCGGGGUGAAAGCCUUGAGCUUAACUCAAGAAGUGCCCCGGAAACGGUGAGACUCGCGUACUGGAGAGGGUCGUGGAAUUCCCGGUGUAGCGGUGAAAUGCGUAGAGAUCGGGAGGAACACCAGAGGCGAAGGCGGCGACCUGGACAGUUACUGACACUCAACUACGAAAGCGUGGGGAGCAAACAGG
rnacentral:rRNA from 1 species